UACGGAGGGUGCAAGCGUUAAUCGGAAUUACUGGGCGUAAAGCGUGCGUAGGCGGUUCGUUAAGUCUGUUGUGAAAGCCCCGGGCUCAACCUGGGAAUGGCAAUGGAUACUGGCGAGCUAGAGUGUGUCAGAGGAUGGUGGAAUUCCCGGUGUAGCAGUGAAAUGCGUAGAGAUCGGGAGGAACAUCAGUUGCGAAGGCGGCUCUCUGGACCAGCACUGACACUGAGGCACGAAAGCGUGGGGAGCAAACAGG
rnacentral:rRNA from 1 species